UUUAGUCACACAAGGUCCUGAAAAUCCAGGUGACGUUAAUGUGGAUGAUGGGCCGCCGAAGCAUGGACAAGGUGCAUCAAGCUCACAAGUUAACGCACAAGUUGGUGGACCGCCGCCGAAGCAUGGACAAGCCUACCCUGACUGGUUGACGGAUAUUAAACUAAACUCGUAUGAAGUACGAGAAAAUGCAAUUGAUGAAUAAUAUCGUGGAGUCAUGAAAAUGUUUCAGUUUCUACACUAUAAUCAUCAUUAAAGUGUGAAAAAAUAUUAAAAAACUAAAAUUUUAUUAGAUUACAAUAAACAAAGAAUAUAUAGCA